rnacentral:rRNA from 2 species
GGUUUGGUGGUCAUAGCGAGCGCAAUACACCCGGUCCCUUCCCGAACCCGGAAGUUAAGUGCCUCCGCGCCAAUGGUACUCGGGCUCAAGCCCCGGGAGAGUAGGUCACCGCCAAACC